rnacentral:rRNA from 1 species
CAGCGCCACAAGUGGGGAUCAGUUUUAUUUGGCCUAAAGCGUCCGUAGCUGGUUAAGUAAAUCUUUUGUGAAAUUGUUUUGCUCAACAAAACAGCGUGCAGGAGAGACUGCUCAACUAGGGACCGGGAGGAGUCAGAGGUAUGCCGUGGGGAGCGGUAAAAUGCUAUAAUCCUCGGUAGACCACCUGUGGCGAAGGCGUCUGACUAGAACGGGUCCGACAGUGAGGGACGAAAGCCAGGGGAGCAAACCGGAUUAGAUACCCGAGUAGUCC